rnacentral:rRNA from 1 species
UUGAACGCUGGCGGCAUGCCUUACCCAUGCCAGUCGAACGGCAGCACGGGGGGUAACCCCUGGUGGCGAGUGGCGAACGGGUGAGUAAUAUAUCGGAACGUGUCCUGUAGCGGGGGAUAACCUAUCGAAAGAUGGACUAAUACCGCAUACGACCUACGGGUGAAAGCGGAGGACCGCAAGGCUUCGCACUAUAGGAGCGGCCGAUAUCGGAUUAGCUAGUUGGCGGGGUAACGGCCCACCAAGGCGACGAUCCGUAGCUGGUCUGAGAGGACGAUCAGCCACACUGGAACUGAGACACGGUCCAGACUCCUACGGGAGGCAGCAGUGGGGAAUUUUGGACAAUGGGCGCAAGCCUGAUCCAGCCAUGCCGCGUGAGUGAAGAAGGCCUUCGGGUUGUAAAGCUCUUUCGGCGGGGACGAAACGGUUCGUGCUAAUACCACGGACUACUGACGGUACCCGCAGAAGAAGCACCGGCUAACUACGUG